rnacentral:rRNA from 1 species
AGCAGCCGCGGUAAUUCCAGCUCCAAUAGCGUAUAUUAAAGUUGCUGCAGUUAAAAAGCUCGUAGUUGAAUUUCGGGAUCAAUAUGUUGGUCGUGCCUUGGUACGCACUGGCCUAUUGGUUUCUUCCUUCUGACGAACCAUGAUGUCAUUAAUUUGGUGUCUUGGGAAAUCAGGGCUGUUACUUUGAAAAAAUUAGAGUGUUUAAAGCAGGCUCACGCUUGAAUACAUUAGCAUGGAAUAAUAAAAUAGGACGUUUGAUUCUAUUUUGUUGGUUUCUAGGAUCGACGUAAUGAUUAAUAGGGAUAGUUGGGGGCAUUAGUAUUCAAUUGUCAGAGGUGAAAUUCUUGGAUUUAUUGAAGACUAACUACUGCGAAAGCAUUUGCCAAGGAU